rnacentral:rRNA from 1 species
AUUCAACGCUGGCGGCAGGCCUAACACAUGCAAGUCGAGCGAGCGGCGGACGGGUGAGUAAUGUAUGGGGAACUGCCUGAUAGAGGGGGAUAACUACUGGAAACGGUGGCUAAUACCGCAUACUAUCGGAUGACCCCCUAUGGGAUUAGCUGGUGGGUGGGGUAACGGCUCACCAAGGCGACGAUCCCUAGCUGGUCUGAGAGGAUGAUCCGCCCCACGGGCACUGAGACACGGCCCAGACUCCUACGGGAGGCAGCAGUGGGGAAUAUUGCACAAUGGUCGCAAGCCUGAUGCAGCCAUGCCGCGUGUAUGAAGAAGGCCUUAGGGUUGUAAAGUACUUUCAGCGGGGAGGCGUUACCCGCAGAAGAAGCACCGGCUAACUCCGUGCCAGCAGCCGCGGUAAUAC